GGUGUACACCCCACCACCGCUCCCAAUGCCAAGUUUAACCCCCGGAGCCCGGCGAGCAACAAGUGGCGCGGAUUGAUUUGACAAUUUCCUUAGAAAGCCUGCCAGGUGCUUCUGAAUGACCCCGAGAAAAACAUCACAUCCACGUUGGUGCCUAUGGACAGUACAAAUGGUUAAGCUGGCA